CACGUAGGGUGCGAGCGUUUGUCCGGAAUUAUUGGGCGUAAAGAGCUCGUAGGCGGUGUGUCGCGUCGGCCGUGAAAACCUGCAGCUUAACUGUGGGCUUGCGGUCGAUACGGGCAUCACUGGAGUUCGGCAGGGGAGACUGGAAUUCCUGGUGUAGCGGUGGAAUGCGCAGAUAUCAGGAGGAACACCGGUGGCGAAGGCGGGUCUCUGGGCAGUAACUGACGCUGAGGAGCGAAAGCGUGGGGAGCGAACAGG
rnacentral:rRNA from 1 species